rnacentral:rRNA from 1 species
GCAAAACGCGAAGAACCUUACCAGGUCUUGACAUCCCUCUGACCGGUCCGUAACGGGACCUUUCCUUCGGGACAGAGGAGACAGGUGGUGCAUGGUUGUCGUCAGCUCGUGUCGUGAGAUGUUGGGUUAAGUCCCGCAACGAGCGCAACCCCUAUCCUUAGUAGCCAGCAGUUCGGCUGGGCACUCUAGGGAGACUGCCAGGGAUAACCUGGAGGAAGGCGGGGAUGACGUCAAAUCAUCAUGCCCCUUAUGAUCUGGGCUACACACGUGCUACAAUGGUGACUACAAAGGGAAGCAACCCCGCGAGGGUAAGCAAAUCCCAAAAAGGUCAUCCCAGUUCGGAUUGUAGUCUGCAACUCGACUACAUGAAGCUGGAAUCGCUAGUAAUCGCGAAUCAGAAUGUCGCGGUGAAUACGUUCCCGGGUCUUGUACACACCG